AAGCGGAGGAAAAGAAACUAACAAGGAUUCCCCUAGUAGCGGCGAGCGAAGCGGGAAGAGCUCAAAUUUAUAAUCUGGCACCUUCGGUGUCCGAGUUGUAAUCUCUAGAAAUGUUUUCCGCGUUGGACCGCACACAAGUCUGUUGGAAUACAGCGGCAUAGUGGUGAGACCCCCGUAUAUGGUGCGGACGCCCAGCGCUUUGUGAUACAUUUUCGAAGAGUCGAGUUGUUUGGGAAUGCAGCUCAAAUUGGGUGGUAAAUUCCAUCUAAAGCUAAAUAUUGGCGAGAGACCGAUAGCGAACAAGUACCGUGAGGGAAAGAUGAAAAGCACUUUGGAAAGAGAGUUAACAGUACGUGAAAUUGUUGGAAGGGAAACGCUUGAAGUCAGACUUGCUUGCCGAGCAAUCGGUUUGCAGGCCAGCAUCAGUUUUCCGGGAUGGAUAAUGGUAGAGAGAAGGUAGCAGUUUCGGCUGUGUUAUAGCUCUCUGCUGGAUACAUCUUGGGGGACUGAGGAACGCAGUGUGCCUUUGGCGGGG
rnacentral:rRNA from 1 species